rnacentral:ribozyme from 12 species
AUACUUCUCUUAUCCUUUAUAUUUUUUUUCUUUUUCUUCUUUUUUGGGUUAUCCCUGACAAAACCGAGAACGGAAGGCCAGCACAAAAAGAAGCAACGCAAGCAAAGGCAAAAGAAAA